CUGACACAGCGUCUGCGAUAUUUUAUCGAUCAUUAUUUUAUGACUUUUAUUUUCAUACGAAAAAUUGUAAAACAGGGAAAAAUAAUUUUUUUUUUACUCGUGGAAAGGCAUAUAUUAGAGUUUCUUAUGCGCAGACAAUUUUCGAUUUGCAUUUCUCAAAAGUUAAGCAAGAUUUUAUUAUUCGAUAUUUAUUCCUAUCGGGAAACAGUAUAUAACACGUUUUAUAAUCUCAUUUACAGAGAGUGAGUUUAAUAUUUUUGCUUGUUGGUUCUUUUAUCAGAGUGCAUUUUAAUAUUUUUUUCAUUUGUCAUUGCAGAGCAACCGCGACUGGAAAUCGAAUCUGGGAGACUCGCUUGUCGGAGGACUGCGCCUCCACUAUCAAUAAGCUACACAGAUCCUGGAAAGUUUAGCAAGAUUGACACUUGCAAUUUGUAUUUUCCCGACAUUUUCAAGGUAUAGGUAAAAAUAAUAAAAAAAUGUGUGUCUGACUGUGUUCAGAUAAUACAAGAGUCGAUAACAGUCGCUCGUAAUUGAUGUAUACUUAUCACUCAAUCAGAUGUCUUUCCUAAAAGUCGAUAUCUUUAUAUCCAUUAAUGUAUUCUAUCAAUUCGACUUUUUCAUCCUUAUGACAAAAUAAUUGCGCGACGAAAAAGUGACUCAUCUCCACAAAGUCUUAUGGUAAUAAGAGAAAAAAAAAGAGAUCAAUCGCAUGUAUGAAUGAUCCAGCUAUCCAUUAUAUAGCAUUCAAAGAUUAAUAAUAAUCUAUUGUGUAUGUGUGUUAAUUUACUUUUUUAUAUUUUAUCACAUGUAUCUUUUUUUCUCUCAAUAUUCUAUUUUAUCAUAGUUGUUUCUAUUUUCCAGAACUUCGCGUCAUGCCAUAUUUUCUUCGCAAACUCGCUGCUAAAUGCGGUGAUAUCGCCUCGACGAAAAUCUUCCCGCGCCGCGCGCGCCGUGUAAAUCGAACGUUCGAUAACGGACGGUGGCGAGAAAGGAGGGAGCGUGCGAGCGAACGAGCGGACGAACGAACGAACCAACAAGGGACGAUCUGGCAACAGCGCUGAGUCGCAGUGCCGGAAUUGAAUUUCAAGCGCCCGAGGGACAGAAGAGGGGGCGGACCGACCGACGCGGCCCUUUCUCUUUUGUAUAGGGGGCACGAGGCGCAUAACGUUAUUUCAGAAAGAGCAGAAGAUGGAAUAGAGCGGGGCGUCGAAAUGUUGGGAGACGUUCCUGGGAAAACCAAACUUCCCUUCACCUUUAUCGCCCUUUUUCCUGUCGUAACUUUACCCGUAUUACUCGGAGGAGGCCCAUAGAGGGGCCUAACGAACGCACAGUAAACCAAGGCCCGAACAUAUAUUUCGAAGAAGAUUACCGUCCGGCAUGCUCUACUGGAUGUCCCAAAAGAACAUGACCCAUUAGCCGCGCUAUGUCUUUAUCUUGCAAACUGACAUGAUGGUGAAACUUGGCAAAUGCGCACACCGGCGUAUCAUCUGAACGCAGCUGCGUAAGAUUCACCCUCCGAGAAUCGGUUCGAAGCGACUGCCAGAAACAGUCGUGCGUUUCAUCGCGGGACAUCCGUUACAAAGUAUGCGCUUCUGGAGAGGGUUUGUAUAUAACGAUAUAGCUCCAACAUUUAUUGCUACGUAUCAUUUAAUAAUUACAUGAACUUUUCUCAAACCUCCGACUCUUUUCAUUUUGAUUAUUAGAUUAUUAGAUUAUCAGUUAUUAAUUAUAUGUAAAUAAAGACAAAAGGAGAAAAACAAAAAUUGCAAAGAUUGUGUGUGUGUGUGUGUGUGCGCGUGCGUGCGUAAAUGUAUUCUAUGUAUUUAUACACUCGAAAACUUUUCGUAUAUAUAUAAUCUUUAAAAAUAAACUCCCCGACGUCUUUUCCUUCUCUGUUUACCACCUCGAAUAACCGCUUGGCUCGCUUACAACCUUACAUGUUAUAAUAUAUCGAAUAUUUGAAAUUUAUCGAGUAUGCAAUAAUAAGUUAAUUAUG